UAGGGAAUCUUCCACAAUGGACGCAAGUCUGAUGGAGCAACGCCGCGUGAGUGAAGAAGGUCUUCGGAUCGUAAAGCUCUGUUGUUGGUGAAGAAGGAUAGAGGCAGUAACUGGUCUUUAUUUGACGGUAAUCAACCAGAAAGUCACGGCUAACUACGUGCCAGCAGCCGCGGUAAUACGUAGGUGGCAAGCGUUGUCCGGAUUUAUUGGGCGUAAAGCGAGCGCAGGCGGAAUGAUAAGUCUGAUGUGAAAGCCCACGGCUCAACCGUGGAACUGCAUCGGAAACUGUCAUUCUUGAGUGCAGAAGAGGAGAGUGGAACUCCAUGUGUAGCGGUGGAAUGCGUAGAUAUAUGGAAGAACACCAGUGGCGAAGGCGGNUCUCUGGUCUGCAACUGACGCUGAGGCUCGAAAGCAUGGGUAGCGAACAGGAUUAGAUACCCUGGUAGUCCAUGCCGUAAACGAUGAGCGCUAGGUGUUGGGGACUUUCCGGUCCUCAGUGCCGCAGCAAACGCAUUAAGCGCUCCGCCU
rnacentral:rRNA from 1 species